AGGGAUGUAGCUUAGUGGCACAGCACUUGCCUGGCAAGCAUGAGACCCUGUGUUAGAUUCCCAGUACCUCCU
rnacentral:tRNA from 1 species